rnacentral:rRNA from 1 species
UACGAAGGGGGCUAGCGUUGCUCGGAAUUACUGGGCGUAAAGCGCACGUAGGCGGCUUUCUAAGGCGGGGGUGAAAUCCUGGAGCUCAACUCCAGAACUGCCUUCGAUACUGGAGAGCUCGAGUCCGGGAGAGGUGAGUGGAACUGCGAGUGUAGAGGUGAAAUUCGUAGAUAUUCGCAAGAACACCAGUGGCGAAGGCGGCUCACUGGCCCGGUACUGACGCUGAGACGCGAAAGCGUGGGGAGCGAACAGG